UACGUAGGGAGCAAGCGUUGUUCGGAUUACUGGGCGUAAAGGGCGCGUAGGCGGCGCGGUAAGUCACUUGUGAAAUCUCUGAGCUUAACUCAGAACGGCCAAGUGAUACUGCAGUGCUAGAGUGCAGAAAGGGCAAUCGGAAUUCUUGGUGUAGCGGUAAAAUGCGUAGAUAUCAAGAGGAACACCUGAGGCGAAGACGGGUUGCUGGGCCAACACUGACGCUGAUGCGCGAAAGCCAGGGAGCAAACGGG
rnacentral:rRNA from 1 species